rnacentral:sRNA from 1 species
UUUAACAGCAAUGCUCAGGACGUAAGCUGUUUUCAGCACCUUGUACAAGCAAAUGUAAGAAAUAAGAAAGUGUUGAAAGAUGCGGUGAAUAAUAUCACAGCCAAAGGAAUUACAGAUUAUAAGAAGGGCUUUAGUUUUGCUUUUGAACAGCUGCUUAAUUAUAAUGUUUCCAGAGCAAACUGCAAUAAGAUUAUUAUGCUAUUCACGGAUGGAGGAGAAGAGAGAGCCCAGGAGAUAUUUACCAAAUACAAUAAAGAUAAAAAAGUACGUGUAUUCACGUUUUCAGUUGGUCAACACAAUUAUGACAGAGGACCUAUUCAGUGGAUGGCCUGUGAAAACAAAGGUUAUUAUUAUGAAAUUCCUUCCAUUGGUGCAAUAAGAAUCAAUACUCAGGAAUAUUUGGAUGUUUUGGGAAGACCAAUGGUUUUAGCAGGAGACAAAGCUAAGCAAGUCCAGUGGACAAAUGUGUACCUGGAUGCAUUGGUAAGAGGUUGAGCUGUUCAGUCAAAGACUGUCAUAACAGAAGCACACGGAUGAUUUCUACUUCUUUCUAGAUGAUGUCUCUGUUUUCCUUUUCAUUAAACCCUCCCCAAA